rnacentral:rRNA from 1 species
GCAACGCGAAGAACCUUACCAACUCUUGACAUCCCCCUGACCGGUACAGAGAUGUGCCUUCCCCUUCGGGGGCAGGGGUGACAGGUGGUGCAUGGUUGUCGUCAGCUCGUGUCGUGAGAUGUUGGGUUAAGUCCCGCAACGAGCGCAACCCUUGUCCUUAGUUGCCAGCAUUCAGUUGGGCACUCUAAGGAGACUGCCGGUGACAAACCGGAGGAAGGUGGGGAUGACGUCAAAUCAUCAUGCCCCUUAUGAGUUGGGCUACACACGUGCUACAAUGGACGGUACAAAGGGCAGCGAAGCCGCGAGGUGGAGCCAAUCCCAGAAAGCCGUUCUCAGUUCGGAUUGCAGGCUGCAACUCGCCUGCAUGAAGUCGGAAUCGCUAGUAAUCGCAGGUCAGCAUACUGCGGUGAAUACGUUCCCGGGUCUUGUACACACCGCCCGUCACACCACGAGAGUUUGCAACACCCGAAGUCGGUGAGUAACNGUAAGGAGCCAGCCGCCGAAGUGGCAGUNUUGG